UGAUGGGUUAUUAUUCUAAUCCCAUUUAUAUUUUAUUGGGCCAGUUUAAUUCAUCACUUGGGCCGAGUUUUAUUUAAUUUUAAGCUCAGAAUAAUUCAUUCUAUUCUUGGGCUAAUUUUAAAUUAUGGACUGAAAUUUUAUUUAGUUGGGCUUUACAUGAUUUAUUUAUUUGAGCCCAACAGACCUUAUUUUAAUAUCGGCCUUAUUAUUUUAUUUCUUUGGGCCGAGGCUUAUUUAAUUGCAGCUGGGCCUUGCGUACUUAUUUAACUUAGCCCAGCUAUUCAUUAUUUAUUCAUUGGGCCAAGAUUUAUUUAAUUACUUAAGCCAAUGAAUUAUUUCGAUUGGGCUUUCGUACUAUUUAUUCAGGCCCACUUCUACUUAAUUAAUUAUCAGGCUGCCUUGUUGAGCCUCUUAAUUAUUGAGCUUAUAUUAUUGUUUCCUUAAGGCCAAAUAUUAUUUUGAGCUACCAUUAUUUAUUUGAGUUAAGCUACUCGUUUUAUUUAAUUAAUUGGCUACUCUCUUUUGAGCCUAUUAAUUAUUUGAGAUUAUAUUAGUAAUUAUGUUUCUAUCGAAAAGCCCGAUAGUUUCUACAAGGUCACACCUCGUUUAAAGCCGAGUUAGUCAUUUUUCAAUCAAGUACAAAUGCGAGAUUUAUUUCACAACUAGAAUAUUACGAUGAGGAAGGAAGAAGCACAACUUUAUUCGACCGCGUUAGACGAGAAUUAGUUAAAUCUAUUAACAAGGAUUAAUAGUAGAAUUCCCGAUUAUCGCUCAAAAGAUUAGAUCAUGCAUACCAGAUUCAUGCAUAGUUAAAUUACGCUUUCUCAUUAAUUAAGAAUUUUCCUCGAGGCAAUGUCUUAUUUUAUAUUCUCGUGAUUAAGGUCAAGCGCGAGAGUAAGAACUACACAAGGAGUUAGAGUACCUUAGCAAAACUUUGCUAUCAGGUUGAGUUGUGAUGGGCGAUGAAGUGUUGCUGAGUGGAGUUUUUGUUGAACUUAAAGUAGGCUCAGAAAGGAUACAUGUCUUCAUACAUGUAUCUCAGUUAUGCAUUCCGCUGUAAACACUGAUUAUUUCAGUUACACCUUCCGUUGCAAACUCUGAUAAUGUUUUAGCCAAGCCCCUAACGAUGCCUUUUUCCUUUUAAGGAAUAUAACGCUUAUACAAGUUCGUUGAGUACCCUUUUUAUGCGAACUAUGCCUUUUUCCUUUUUAAGGAAUA